GGGAUGAAAAUCUCACUUCUCUUUCUUCUAUUUCUUGAGAAUGAGGGGAUAUAUCCAUCUGUAUAGAGUUCAUGACAAGCAGCCCUCCUGUCUUUUUGUAGUUGAAGCGACUUUUAAUUGUCUUCAAACUUCCAGUGUUACUACUCUGCCAAGACAGAGUGGCUGCACCAACUUGCAUUCCCACCAAUAG
rnacentral:lncRNA from 1 species